GAUGAACGCUGGCGGCGUGCCUAAUACAUGCAAGUCGAGCGAACAGAUGAGGAGCUUGCUCCUCUGACGUUAGCGGCGGACGGGUGAGUAACACGUGGAUAACCUACCUAUAAGACUGGGAUAACUUCGGGAAACCGGAGCUAAUACCGGAUAAUAUAUUGAACCGCAUGGUUCAAUAGUGAAAGACGGUUUUGCUGUCACUUAUAGAUGGAUCCGCGCCGCAUUAGCUAGUUGGUAAGGUAACGGCUUACCAAGGCAACGAUGCGUAGCCGACCUGAGAGGGUGAUCGGCCACACUGGAACUGAGACACGGUCCAGACUCCUACGGGAGGCAGCAGUAGGGAAUCUUCCGCAAUGGGCGAAGGCCUGACGGAGCAACGCCGCGUGAGUGAUGAAGGUCUUCGGAUCGUAAAACUCUGUUAUUAGGGAAGAACAAAUGCGUAAGUAACUAUGCACGUCUUGACGGUACCUAAUCAGAAAGCCACGGCUAACUACGUG
rnacentral:rRNA from 1 species